UGGCUCAGGAUGAACGCUAGCGACAGGCCUAACACAUGCAAGUCGAGGGGCAGCACAAGGAGCAAUCUGAGGUGGCGACCGGCGCACGGUGAGUAACACGUAUGCAACCUGCCUGUAAGCGGGGAAUAACCCGUUGAAAGACGGACUAAUACCGCAUAAUACUAAAUUACUGCAUGGUAAUUUAUUUAAACAUUUAUGGCUUACAGAUGGGCAUGCGCAUGAUUAGCUAGUUGGAGAGGUAACGGCUCCCCAAGGCAACGAUCAUUAGGGGUUCUGAGAGGAAGGUCCCCCACACUGGUACUGAGACACGGACCAGACUCCUACGGGAGGCAGCAGUGAGGAAUAUUGGUCAAUGGACGAGAGUCUGAACCAGCCAAGUCGCGUGCAGGAAGAAAAUGUCCUAUGGAUUGUAAACUGCUUUUGCAGGGGAAUAAAGUGCAUCACGUGUGAUGUUUUGUAUGUACUCUGCGAAUAAGGAUCGGCUAACUCCGUGCCAGCCGCCGC
rnacentral:rRNA from 1 species